rnacentral:rRNA from 1 species
GAUGAACGCUGGCGGCGUGCUUAACACAUGCAAGUCGAACGGAAAGGCUCCUGCUUGCAGGGGUACUCGAGUGGCGAACGGGUGAGUAACACGUGGGUGAUCUGCCCUGCACUUCGGGAUAAGCCUGGGAAACUGGGUCUAAUACCGGAUAGGACGAUGGUUUGGAUGCCAUUGUGGAAAGUUUUUCGGUGUGGGAUGAGCUCGCGGCCUAUCAGCUUGUUGGUGGGGUAAUGGCCUACCAAGGCGUCGACGGGUAGCCGGCCUGAGAGGGUGUACGGCCACAUUGGGACUGAGAUACGGCCCAGACUCCUAAGGGAGGCAGCAGUGGGGAAUAUUGCACAAUGGGCGCAAGCCUGAUGCAGCGACGCCGCGUGUGGGAUGACGGCCUUCGGGUUGUAAACUCCUUUCGCUAGGGACGAAGCGCAAGUGACGGUACCUGGAGAAGAAGCACCGGCUAACUACGUG